rnacentral:rRNA from 1 species
CCUACGGGAGGCUGCAGUGGGGAAUAUUGGACAAUGGGCCAAAGCCUGAUCCAGCCAUGCCGCGUGUGUGAAGAAGGCCUUCGGGUUGUAAAGCACUUUCAGUGGGGAAGAAAGCCUUGGGGCUAAUACCCUCGAGGAAGGACAUCACCCACAGAAGAAGCACCGGCUAACUCCGUGCCAGCAGCCGCGGUAAUACGGAGGGUGCGAGCGUUAAUCGGAAUUACUGGGCGUAAAGCGCGCGUAGGCGGUCUGAUAAGCCGGUUGUGAAAGCCCCGGGCUCAACCUGGGAACGGCAUCCGGAACUGGCAGGCUAGAGUGCAGGAGAGGAAGGUAGAAUUCCCGGUGUAGCGGUGAAAUGCGUAGAGAUCGGGAGGAAUACCAGUGGCGAAGGCGGCCUUCUGGACUGACACUGACGCUGAGGUGCGAAAGCGUGGGGAGCAAACAGGAUUAGAUACCCUAGUAGUC